rnacentral:rRNA from 1 species
AUUCAACGCUGGCGGCAGGCCUAACACAUGCAAGUCGGACGGUAGCACAGAGAGCUUGCUCUCGGGUGACGAGUGGCGGACGGGUGAGUAACGUCUGGGAAACUGCCCGAUGGAGGGGGAUAACUACUGGAAACGGUAGCUAAUACCGCAUAACGUCGCAAGACCAAAGUGGGGGACCUUCGGGCCUCACACCAUCGGAUGUGCCCAGAUGGGAUUAGCUAGUAGGUGGGGUAAUGGCUCACCUAGGCGACGAUCCCUAGCUGGUCUGAGAGGAUGACCAGCCACACUGGAACUGAGACACGGUCCAGACUCCUACGGGAGGCAGCAGUGGGGAAUAUUGCACAAUGGGCGCAAGCCUGAUGCAGCCAUGCCGCGUGUAUGAAGAAGGCCUUCGGGUUGUAAAGUACUUUCAGCGGGGAGGAAGGCGGUGAAGUUAAUAACUUCACCGAUUGACGUUACCCGCAGAAGAAGCACUGGCUAACUCCGUGCCAGCAGCCGCCGUAA